GCUGGAAACAGCCACUCGUGGCGGCGUUGGUACACCGAAUAUCCCUGCACAAACCUCAACGGCACAACGGCAUUAUCAGACGACCGAAGUUCUUCCUGCUCCAAAGGUAACCUAUCGUCAGCUACCUGGCCCGGAGUGGAGCGAACCUGUGCCACUAAUCACCUGGGGGCGCGGUUACGCAGCUGUAUCAACACCAAGCG